AGCGAACGCUGGCGGCAGGCCUAACACAUGCAAGUCGAACGAUCCUUCGGGAUAGUGGCAGACGGGUGAGUAACACGUGGGAACGUGCCCUUUGGUUCGGAACAACUCAGGGAAACUUGAGCUAAUACCGGAUGUGCCCUUCGGGGAAAGAUUUAUCGCCAUUGGAGCGGCCCGCGUUGGAUUAGGUAGUUGGUGGGGUAAUGGCCCACCAAGCCUACGAUCCAUAGCUGGUCUGAGAGGAUGAUCAGCCACACUGGGACUGAGACACGGCCCAGACUCCUACGGGAGGCAGCAGUGGGGAAUCUUGCGCAAUGGGCGAAAGCCUGACGCAGCCAUGCCGCGUGAAUGAUGAAGGUCUUAGGAUUGUAAAAUUCUUUCACCGGGGACGAUAAUGACGGUACCCGGAGAAGAAGCCCCGGCUAACUUCGUGCCAGCCGCCGCUGUAAUAC
rnacentral:rRNA from 1 species